rnacentral:misc_RNA from 1 species
GUGAAUCAUCGAAUCUUUGAACGCAAAUUGCACUCCCUGGUAUUCCGGGGAGUAUGCCUGUUUGAGGGUCGUUUGAACAAAAAUUGAAGCGUCGCUCUUUUUUUUAUGGGUGAUCGCGUGGGAUUUGAGCCGUUUUUUAAAUGUUAAUGCAUGUCAAAUUGGCUUAAAUUUUAUCCAACGGGUACGAUUAAUUUGUAUUUAGGUUCAAUUUUGAUUAAGAACGCG